UCCGGUGGCCAUAGUGGCGGGGCCACACCCGUUCCCAUUCCGAACACGGUCGUUAAGCCCGCUAACGCCGAUGGUACUUGUCUGGUAACGGACUGGGAGAGUAGGUUGUCGCCGGAU
rnacentral:rRNA from 3 species